UACGGAGGGUGCAAGCGUUAAUCGGAAUUACUGGGCGUAAAGCGCGCGUAGGCGGAUGAUUAAGUCAGAUGUGAAAGCCCAGGGCUUAACCUUGGAACUGCAUUUGAUACUGGUCAUCUAGAGUACAGCAGAGGGGGGUGGAAUUCCAGGUGUAGCGGUGAAAUGCGUAGAGAUCUGGAGGAACAUCAGUGGCGAAGGCGACCCCCUGGGCUGAUACUGACGCUGAGGUGCGAAAGCGUGGGUAGCGAACAGG
rnacentral:misc_RNA from 1 species